UACGAAGGGGGGCUAGCGUUGUUCAAAAUUACUGGGCGUAAAGCGCACGUAGGCGGAUCCUUAAGUCAGGGGUGAAAUCCCGAGGCUCAACCUCGGAACUGCCUUUGAUACUGGGGAUAUCGAGUCCGGGAGAGGUGAGUGGAACUGCGAGUGUAGAGGUGAAAUUCGUAGAUAUUCGCAAGAACACCAGUGGCGAAGGCGGCUCACUGGCCCGGUACUGACGCUGAGGUGCGAAAGCGUGGGGAGCAAACAGGG
rnacentral:rRNA from 1 species